GACGAACGCUGGCGGCGUGCUUAACACAUGCAAGUCAACUGUGGCGGACGGGUGAGUAACGCGUAAAGAACUUGCCUAACAGUUAGGGACAACCUUUGGAAACGAAUGCUAAUACCUGAUACUUUGAGAGAGCUUUGCGUCCCAUUAGCGAGUUGGCGAGUUACCGGCUCACCAAGGCGAUGAUGGGUAGCCGGCCUGAGAGGGUGAUCGGCCACAAGUGGACGGAGUAACGGCCCUUACGCCGUCGGGAGGAAGCAGUGGGGAAUAUUGGACAAUGGACCAAAGUCUGAUACAGCAAUUCGGUUUGAAAGAUGAAUUUUUCGGAAUGUAAAGUGCUUUCAGUUGGGAAGCGGUAUCAACAGAAGAAGUGACGGCUAAAUACGUGCCAGCAGCCGCGGUAAUAC
rnacentral:rRNA from 1 species